GUGAUGGGUCGCCUCACCGCGGCGCUCUCGGGCGACGAGGAAAGUCCGGGCAACGCAGAGCACCUUGCUUCCUAACGGGAAGGACUGGCGCGCAUAACGCAACCCAGGACAGCGAGUGCCACAGAAAAUUACCGCCUGACGGGAGUUUUAAGUGUUGAAUGUUGAGGGUUGAGUUUUUAAUUCAGCCCUUAUAACUCAACCCUCAACACUCCCUAACGGUAAGGGUGAAAAGGUGCGGUAAGAGCGCACCAGCGGGCGGGUGACCGUCCCGGCUGGGUAAACCUCAGGGGUUGAAAGACCAAAUAAGCUGGUACGCCGGCGCGGCUUCGGCCGCAUCGGCUCCGGGCGGCUCGUUCGGCGCCAGCGGGUAGGUUGAUGGAGCCUUUCGGCAACGACUGGCCUAGAUAAAUGGUGAGGCAGGGGCUUCGGCCCCGGACAAAACCCGGCUUACAGACCCAUCACACCA
rnacentral:RNase_P_RNA from 1 species